CCCCGCAGGAAUGAUGGCAUCGGAUACAGUUUGAAGGACUUAACCCGUUGGGAAUUAGCUGCAACCUCCAACAUGCCGUCCAAGCCUGCCCCAAUCAAGAAGGCGGCUAAGAAAGAACCAGCCAAGAAGGAGGAGGAGAAGGCUCCAGAGCCGGCGCCUGAACCCGUCCCGGAGCCUGCUCCCGCAGAGGCCGCACCCGCUGAGGUCGCCCCGGAGGCAGCCCCCGCCGAGGGCGAGGCAGCCCCGGCAGCGGAGGAACCCAAACCCCCAACUCCUCCACCCGCGGAUGCUGAAGCUGCUGAGGCGCCUGAACCAGAAGAGCCUAAAGCACCUUCACCUCCACCUCCUCCACCCAAAGAGCCCACAAGUGCUCCCCUGGAUCUGUUUAUUGAGGACAAGAAUGACACUUCAGUUACCAUCAUCUGGAGCCAGCCAGAGACCAUCGGAAUAUCCGGCCUGGACGGAUACACCAUUGAAGUCUGCAAGGAUGGAACCGAGGACUGGAAAGCUGUCAAUGAGGACCUGCAGAAGUCCUGCCGCUACGUUAUCAAGAACCUGACCACCGGUGACCGCCUGAAGAUCCGCGUGGUGGCUGUGAACGCCGGCGGCCGCAGCCCCCCCAUCACCCUGCCAGAGCCCGUCCUGGUGAAGGAGGUCGCUGACCGUCCUAAGGUCCGCUUGCCUCGUUUCCUCAGGCAGAGAUACGUCGCUUACGUUGGAGACAAGAUCAACCUGACCAUCCCCUUCACAGGCAAACCCAAACCAGUUGUCUCCUGGACAAAGAACGGGCAGCCCCUGGACACGAAGAGGGUGAACGUCCGCAGCACAGACAGAGACAGCAUUCUGUUCAUCCGUACAUCCGAGAGAGACGACUCCGGCGUGUACGAGAUGUGUGUGAAGGUGGACGACUUUGAGGACAAGGCCUCCCUCAUCCUGCAGAUUGUUGAGCUGCCAGGGCCUCCUGCCAGCGUGAAGAUUGCAGAUACCUGGGGCUUCAAUGUUGCUCUGGAGUGGACUCCACCCAAGGACAAUGGAAACACAGAAAUCACGGGUUACACAAUCCAGAAGGCCGACAAAAAGACUGGAGACUGGUUCACUGUGUUGGAGCAUUACCACAGACUGAACGCCACCAUCUCUGACCUCAUCAUGGGCAACACCUACAAGUUCAGAGUGUUUUCUGAAAACAAGUGUGGAAUUAGCGAGAGCGCCGCUGUUACCAAGGAGGAGGCCAAGAUCCUGAAGACAGGUAUUGAGUACAAGCCCCCUGAGUACAAGGAGCACGACUUCAGCGAGGCGCCCAAGUUCACCACAUCUCUGACCGACAGAGCCACCACCGUCGGCUACAGCACCAAGCUGCUCUGCUCCGUCAGAGGGUUCCCAAAACCCAGGGUUCAAUGGAUGAAGAACCAGAUGAUUAUCGGAGACGACCCCAAGUACAGGCAGAUCUGCGUCCAGGGCAUCUGCUCUCUGGAGAUCCGAAAGCCCGGUAACUUUGACGGAGGCGUGUACUCCUGCAGAGCCAAGAACGAUCACGGAGAAGCAACUGUCAGCUGCAAGCUGGAGGUCAAACAGCCAGCGGUUGCAGAUGCGGAUAAGAAAUAGGUCAACACUCUCAUCGUCACAGGAGCUGAAGGAAUGAGGCCUUCGCAGCAUACGGAAGGUGCUGGGUUCCUGCAAGAACAUGUAUAUAUGGCUGGUGACCACACUACCACAUAAAGCCGUGUAGUUUUGACAUAUGUUAAGAAGAACAGUUGUUAUCACCGCUUUAUGCCUACAACUACAAUAAGAAGUCCACAUCCAUGUCCACAAUCAGCUUUUUUUUUCCCAACAGUGCUGCCUAUGUUAACUAAAUUAUCACAUACCCAAAUAGUGUACCUCACUAGUUGUCAGGCUAACGACAUAGUAGGUGUACAACAAAAAAAAACUCUGCAGCGUGAAUUUACUGUUCCUCAUAGGAGAACUACAUGUAACAUCUACGUGUUUAUACCAAUAAACUUCUUAAUUUCUGG